rnacentral:rRNA from 1 species
GCCGCGUGCAGGAUGACGGUCCUAUGGAUUGUAAACUGCUUUUAUACGAGAAGAAACACUCCUUCGUGAAGGAGCUUGACGGUAUCGUAAGAAUAAGGAUCGGCUAACUCCGUGCCAGCAGCCGCGGUAAUACGGAGGAUCCAAGCGUUAUCCGGAAUCAUUGGGUUUAAAGGGUCCGUAGGCGGUUUAAUAAGUCAGUGGUGAAAGCCCAUCGCUCAACGGUGGAACGGCCAUUGAUACUGUUAAACUUGAAUUAUUAGGAAGUAACUAGAAUAUGUAGUGUAGCGGUGAAAUGCUUAGAGAUUACAUGGAAUACCAAUUGCGAAGGCAGGUUACUACUAAUUGAUUGACGCUGAUGGACGAAAGCGUGGGUAGCGAACAGGAUUAGAUACCCUGGUAGUCCACGCCGUAAACGAUGGAUACUAGCUGUUGGAAGCAAUUUCAGUGGCUAAGCGAAAGUGAUAAG